rnacentral:rRNA from 1 species
CAGCAGCCACGGGAAUACGUAGGUGGCAAGCGUUGUCCGGAAUUAUUGGGCGUAAAGGGCUCGCAGGCGGUUUCUUAAGUCUGAUGUGAAAGCCCCCGGCUCAACCGGGGAGGGUCAUUGGAAACUGGGAAACUUGAGUGCAGAAGAGGAGAGUGGAAUUCCACGUGUAGCGGUGAAAUGCGUAGAGAUGUGGAGGAACACCAGUGGCGAAGGCGACUCUCUGGUCUGUAACUGACGCUGAGGAGCGAAAGCGUGGGGAGCGAACAGGAUUAGAGACCCCUGUAGUCCCUGUCUCUUAUAU